GGCUCUUUGUGAUUUAUAUAUAAAGAGUCGGGCCUGCCCAGUGAUGUAUUUUUAACGGCCGCGGUACUCUGACCGUGCGAAGGUAGCAUAAUCAUUUGCCCUAUAAUUGAGGGCUAGUAUGAAUGGUUUGACAUGAGCAUAACUGUCUCCUUAAAAUUUUAUAAAAUUUGGUUUUUAGGUGAAGAAACCUAAAUUAAAUUGAAAGACAAGAAGACCCUAUCGAGCUUUAGAAUAAUUAAUUAAAAAAUAUAAAUAAAACAAUUAAUUUUAAUUAAAAACUUUGGUUGGGGCGACUGAGGAACAUAUAAAGCUUCCUUAAUUAAACAAUGCUGAUAAGCAAUGAUCCAGGAAAUCUGAUUAAAAAAAUUAGUUACCGUAGGGAUAACAGCAUAAUCUUUUUUGAGAGCUCUUAUCGAAAAAAAGGUUUGUGACCUCGAUGUUGGACUAGGAUAUCCUAAAGAUGUAGAAGUCUUUAAUGGUUGCUCUGUUCGAGCAUAAAAAUCCU
rnacentral:rRNA from 1 species